GAUGAACGCUAGCGGGAGGCUUAACACAUGCAAGUCGAGGGGUAUAGUAGCAAUACUAGAGACCGGCGGACGGGUGCGUAACGCGUAUGCAACGUGCCUUAUACAGGGGGAUAGCCCGUGGAAACGCGGAUUAAUACCCCAUAUGUCAUUUGGGUCGCAUGGUCUGGAUGAUAAAGCUGAGGUGGUAUAAGAUGGGCAUGCGUCUGAUUAGCUUGUUGGUAGGGUAAUGGCCUACCAAGGCGACGAUCAGUAGGGGUUCUGAGAGGAUAAUCCCCCACACUGGUACUGAGACACGGACCAGACUCCUACGGGAGGCAGCAGUGAGGAAUAUUGGUCAAUGGGCGAGAGCCUGAACCAGCCAUUCCGCGUGAAGGAAGAAGGCCUUAUGGGUUGUAAACUUCUUUUCUGUAAGAAGAAAAGUCCCGACGUGUCGGGAUGUGACGGUAUUAUAGGAAUAAGCAUCGGCUAACUCCGUGCCAGCCGCCGCAGUAAAAC
rnacentral:rRNA from 1 species